CACGUAGGGUGCGAGCGUUGUCCGGAAUUAUUGGGCGUAAAGAGCUCGUAGGCGGUGUGUCGCGUCGGCCGUGAAAACCUGUGGCUUAACUAUGGGCUUGCGGUCGAUACGGGCAUCACUGGAGUUCGGCAGGGGAGACUGGAAUUCCUGGUGUAGCGGUGAAAUGCGUAGAUAUCAGGAGGAACACCGGUGGCGAAGGCGGGUCUCUGGGCCGUAACUGACGCUGAGGAGCGAAAGCGUGGGGAGCGAACAGG
rnacentral:rRNA from 1 species